rnacentral:lncRNA from 1 species
UUUCUCUAUUCCAUUUUUUGGUUAGAAUCUUUGUAUUUUUUUCUAGCAGUCAUUCUAGGGAUUGCAGUAUAUGUACCCAACCUGUCACAGUCUUCCUAGAGUUAAUAUUUUCCACUUCAAAUAAAAUGUAGCAGCCUUACAACUAUAUACACUCCUUUAUACUCUUAUAGUUGUUCUACAUGUUACAUUUAUAUGCAUUGAGAGCUCCAUCAGAUGUUGUAAUUUUCACCUUAACAUCAAUCAUAUUUAAAGAACUUAUGAGGAAAAAUAGUCUAUUAUAUUUACCCAAGUGUUGUAGAUUGAAUUAUGUCCUUCAAAAGAAGAUACAUUGGAAUCCUAACUCCCAUACCUCAGAAUGUGUCCUUAUUUAGAGAUAGGGUCUUUACACAGGUAAUCAAGUUAAAAUGAGGUCAUUAGAAUCCAAUAUGACUACCGUCCUUAUAAAAAGGGGGAAAUUUGGACACAAAGACACACAGGAAGAACACCAUGUGAAGAUGAAGGCAGAGAUCAAGGUGAUCGAUAUACAAGCCAAGGAAUGUCAAUGACUGACAGCAACCACCAGAAGCUAGAAGAGAGGCAUGGAAAAGACUUUCUCUCACAGCCCCCAGAAGGAAUCAACCCUACUGAUACCUUACUUCUAGCCUCCAGAACUGUGAGACAAAUAUUUUAUACCGUUUAAGCUACCUAGUGUGUGGUAUUUAGUUAUGGCGGCCAUAGAAAGCUAAUAAACCAAGUAUUUCCCAUUUCUGUUAUUCUUCCUUCAUUCCUGACAUGCCAGGUUUCCUUCUGGUAUCAUUGACUUUCAGACUGAGCAACUUCCUCGGGUGUUUCUACUGAUCUAUCUUCCCAGUUCACUGAAUCUUUCCUCUGUCAUCUCUCUCCUACCGUUGAGCCUGAGGUCUCAAGAUGAAAUCAUCCUGGACUGAGGAUAGGCUCUAAAUACGAUGACUGGUGUCUUUACAAGAGAAAGGAGGUAGAGAUUUGGAUAUGGAGAGGCAAAAAGGGAAGAAGGCCACGUGAAGAUGGAGCUAGACAUUGGAGGGAUGCUGCCACAAGUCAAGGCUAUCAACCUAGUUGGUUUCAGAUCACAGGUUUUUUUCUCUCCUUCUAUGGCCGGUGUUUCCAAAGCGAAGUGUUGGAAGCUUUUGUAUGCUGCAUUUUGUUGGUCCCGUGAAGGCACAGCUCACAGCUCACAGCGGACCCUCUUCCCAGCUGUCUGGCCAGAAAGAUGGGAUUUCUCUCUCCAUCUUAGUUAUUCACACUUGCUGCUCCAUUCCACAACAGAGGCCUUCCUUGGGUCAAAGUCGGGAGAUAAAAGACGAAAAAACAAUAAACAGGAAACUCACUCCCAUGUGGUUUUCUUCCUCAAUUUUUGUUUUCCCUUUCUAAUCUGUCUGCUUCUGUUUACUUUUUAAGUAGUUGCUUCUUGUGUUUUGUCCAGAUGUUUUAGUUGGAAUCAGUUGGGAAACAGAGGCAUUAACAGGGUUAUUUCUUCUUUUCUAAUGCUGGAAGUGGGUAUGUCUUUUUAACUGUCUCUAUUUUACCUUUAUUUUCUACAUGAUGGAUAAAGGGAGGCUUCAGUGCCUGAACUUGGAUGCUAUGAUCACUGGAGAUACUUGGUACUUUUUAAAAAGCUCAGCUAUUUUAUUUAAAUCUCUUGAAUAUAUGUAAGGUCAAUGGAAAAGAGUCUUCUCGGAGAAUCCCCAGUCAGUGAACUUGGAAAUCAUGUCUUAUUGACGAUUAUUAGCAUCAAUGUCUAGCACCGAGUCUGUUUCAUUGAAGAUGAACAAUAAAUAAUUUUGUGAAAUUAUAAAGCUCCAGCAUUCAUUCUGGUCAAGUAUUCUGGUUGCACAGAAUAGAAACCAACUCAAAUAGACUGAAGUAAAAAGGGAAAGUAGAUCUGUGGGCUCUGGAAUCUCAUGAAAUCCAAGAACAAAAACAAGAGCUCCAUCUCAGCCUCAUAGCAAUGAAAUCUGGAAAUCGGAUGCUGGGAAAAACAAGGCAGCUUCUUUCUCGUAUGUGUUCUGGAGGAAUACCUGGUUCCUUGCAACUGCUACUCUGUGCAUUUGCUUAAUCCUCCUUCUUUUCUCCCCUGGUAAAGAGAGAGAGAUGGAAAGAAAUCAGGUUCUUAGUGAGAAUGCUGAGCCACUGCAUCAACC